rnacentral:rRNA from 1 species
AAUGAACGCUGGCGGCAGGCCUAACACAUGCAAGUCGAACGGAUCCUUCGGGAUUAGUGGCGGACGGGUGAGUAACGCGUGGGAACAUGCCCUUUGGUACGGAAUAGCCUCGGGAAACUGGGAGUAAUACCGUAUGUGGUCGAGAGACGAAAGAUUUAUCGCCAAAGGAUUGGCCCGCGUUGGAUUAGGUAGUUGGUGGGGUAAUGGCCUACCAAGCCGACGAUCCAUAGCUGGUUUGAGAGGAUGAUCAGCCACACUGGGACUGAGACACGGCCCAGGCUCCUACGGGAGGCAGCAGUGGGGAAUCUUAGACAAUGGGGGAAACCCUGAUCUAGCCAUGCCGCGUGAUCGAUGAAGGCCUUAGGGUUGUAAAGAUCUUUCAGGUGGGAAGAUAAUGACUGUACCACCAGAAGAAGCCCCGGCUAACUCCGUGCCAGCCGCCGCUGUAA